GAAUUCAAAAACGAUGUCAGUUUUUUGAGACGACAAACGUGGUGACUGAAAUCAGCCAAAAACAACUCGCCCAAGGAAUGAAAUUGAGCUGUUUCUGAAAAAACGGAGCAACGAUUGAUAAAAUUGAUGCCAAAAAUGGAUUCAGUGGCCGAUUUUGUGUGAGAUAGAGGUUGAGAUCGAUUGAAAUGGCAAAGAAUUGGUGGGAGGAAAUUUGAGAGAAAGAGGUUUUCU
rnacentral:lncRNA from 1 species